GAAAGAAGUACAGCUCACACAAGGUUUGGUGAUGUCUGAACUCUGAGAUUCUGCCUGCAGACCAGCACACACAGGAGAGGGUCUGAGAUCAGCCUCAACCUCAUCAGGAACCCUGAAGAAUUUAUAACAGUACUGAGCACACCUGAAUGUGAAGUAAAGGAAAGUGCAGUAUGCACAUAAAGCACCAGCAGACUGAAUAUGAACAUCACCACAAUAUGAGGAUCUGCUUUCCUGGAUGUGUGAGAGCGACGCUCAGCUGAACAUGAAGCUCCACACGAGAUUAUCCACAUGAUCGCAGACACGAGGAAGACAGAAAGAGAAAAUGCUUUGUAAUAUAUUCCUGUCAUAACUAAAAACCCACUGAUGAUGAAACAGAGAAGCACAAGUAUGUAGAAGAUGAUGAAGCAGCGUGAGGAGAAAACAGCAGCAGUGUACAGCGGAUAUCUGACUGAGAGAAUCCCCUCUAGCGCCACCAGCUGAUUCAGGAGGAGACCACACACUCUUGGAGACCACCAUGAAUACCAAAGCAUCCAACAUCUCCAAUCCACAUAACACAUGAACUCGUCUAAGAGAUCUUUAAUGAGCAGAUAGGGGCUCAAGAAAAGCUCAGUGAAGUCAGUGAGGAGGAGGAGGAUGAUGAAGGCUGAAAUACGGUGUCCAUUCCUUCUGUGCUCAAUCAGUUCACCGACAGACCAAACAAGAGCUGGUAGACCUGCAGACACACCGAUGAUCAUGAAGAUGCAGGAUCUGAUCUUAUACUCCAGCUCUUCAG
rnacentral:lncRNA from 1 species